GAUGAACGCUAGCGGCAGGCCUAACACAUGCAAGUCGAGGGGCAGCACGUUAAGUAACUUGUUACUUAUGGUGGCGACCGGCGGAUGGGUGCGUAACGCGUAUACAACCUACCUUCAACAGGGGGAUAACGCUGGGAAACCGGCACUAAUACCCCAUAACAUUAUGAUCGGCAUCGAUUGUAGUUGAAAACUCUGGUGGUUGGAGAUGGGUAUGCGUUGUAUUAGAUAGUUGGUGGGGUAACGGCUCACCAAGUCGACGAUACAUAGGGGGACUGAGAGGUUAACCCCCCACACUGGAACUGAGACACGGUCCAGACUCCUACGGGAGGCAGCAGUGAGGAAGAUUGGUCAAUGGACGCAAGUCUGAACCAGCCAUGCCGCGUGCAGGAAGACGGCUCUAUGAGUUGUAAACUGCUUUUAUACAGGGUUAAAGUCGGUCACGUGUGAUCGUUUGCAGGUACUGUAUGAAUAAGGAUCGGCUAACUCCGUGCCAGCAGCCGCCGUAAUAC
rnacentral:rRNA from 1 species